UCGGGGACAUCCGAUAAAAUUGGAACGAUACAGAGAAGAUUAGCAUGGCCCCUGCGCAAGGAUGACACGCACAAAUCGAGAAAUGGUCCAAAUUUUUUUUUUUCCUGAAAUAUUCAUUUGCUUUUACCAAAACACCCUAAACUAGCCCCCUGCAUGCUUCUCCGUUGGCAACACCAGGCCCCUGCGCCAAACCUCUCUCUGCAACUUCAAUGUUCAUGCUUGUGUUCUUUGUGCUAACGGAGAACCUGUUCACUCCUCAGGAUCUUAGGCUUUCCAUGACAGUCCUUUGUUUGAGAAAAUUUUCCGUGUAUUUGAAGAUUCCUUACGUUGACUUCCAGUGUUAAAGCUUAAAGCGAACGCAAGUACACAAGUUGUUUGAUGAAAUGCGUCUUAGAUCUUGAAAAUGUGUCCUUUCUGCCGAGGCUGUGAAGUUAAAAUGGAAUUUGAUAGCAUAACGAUGCCUACUCCAAUCGCAAUUGCUAUAUACUCUUUCAAUACUCUUUCAAAUUGGAUUCUCUCUCUCUGCCUCACCUAUCAUCUUGUUUUUGCAAAGGAAACAGUGACAGUGAUUUGAUCUCACGUGAGUGUUUCAAACUCAAAAGUAGACAACUGUUUUUGUCUUCCUUUGUGAAAGCAUGACAUUCAUGUGUAAGCUUUCUUAGAUUCGGUCCAAAUCAGAAAUCUUGAAGAAAGCAUAUAUUAAGAAAAGAAAAAUGUUGUCCUUAUCUCUAAUUUUGCAUCAUUUGCUUGGAUGUUUCUGCGGCAUCCUUUUCUUUCAGCUAUCAGAGGACCCAAAUUCCAAUCCUUUCUCCCCAACCGAUAGGUUAACGUAACCUACUACCAGAGGUUAUUAACAUUUUCUUCGUCAGGCGACAGUUGACUUGGUCCUACGGGAUAAUUUGACUCAGCUAUAAGUUCUACGUUCAAACCUCAGGCAAUUGAAAACUCAGCUGGUUUGAAUACUGAGAUUGAUCAAAUGGGUUGUUGCAGCAUUUGAUGUACUAUGCGUGAAUCAUGUGAUGGUUAAUUUGGUCGAGUCCUAUUUAAUUGGCUCGUUGGAGAUUUGCAUCCUUUAUCUCUACUGUUGAAAUGGAUGAUUAUAAAAAAGAGUUGAAGGUAGCGGUUAGAUGUCUCAACUGGGCCCACCCGGAGGACAAAAAAUUAUCGUUGUGUUAUUGUCAAUGUGAUCAAAGGUGCUAAAAUACGGGCAGUUUGCUAUUGGCGGAAAAUGAAACCGUCAAAGGUUAGGCUGUAUGUCAUCAACGAAGUUCAUAACAAAGAUGUAGUAGUAUGAGAUUAUAUUUGAAUCUCGAGGCUUGGUUUUUCUUGUUUUGUAUAAGAGAAAUAAGAAUUGAUACUGAGCCAACGUGUUAAGCUCCUUACUUGGGUCAUUAUAAUCUUGCAAUUUUCAGCUGGCCUUGUCCUCUUCUCCCUCUCCUUUGCCUUUAUUAUUGAGUUUGUCCGUGGCUGUGCAUGUGCUUGAGUGCGUUGCUGGUGCUGCUCGGUAAUGGAGGUGUGGUGUGGACUGUGGAGAUUCUCUUUUCUUCUUAUCUGCUAGUUUCAGCUUGUCUGCUAAACAAAGGACUGCUCCGGAUGAAGUGGCUGCUCUCAGCAAGAUGAUAGACUACUGGAACUUAAGAAGCAAAGUGAGUGAGUUUUAGCAUUGAACCUUGUACACCGAAUGCAUCAUGGGGUUCCCAUAUUCCGAAUCCCUCGUGUGGAUUGUGACUGUGCUGGCAACUCCUGCCACAUCAAUCGCCUGUAGUUCUCCAUCAUCAUUUUCACCUUUCAUAUAUAUUCUUGUUUGGUUAAGAAAGUUUCCAAUUUCACUUGAUGCCAGAAGAUAUAUAUGCUUUUGGGAUUUCUGGUAUAAUACUGAAAGAACUGUUUCUGCUGAAGCCUGAAAGUGCUGAUGGACUUGUGAAGGAUAGAUUCUUAAGCUUUAAGUAGUCCUUGUUGCUUUGAUGUGAUUGAGAUUUAAAAUAUUGCCCAAUGAUGCAGGAAUCUGGGUCAGAAUGUAUUGAGUGAACCCACGGCUGAAAUUGCAUAAACAACCUGACAGGUUUCAUGAAAUGCUGCAAUUUGGCCCGAGGGUGAGAGAGUUCCCCGAGACUUCAACAUUCAGAAGGAAACUGGCGGAUCCAAAAGAGCCUUGAUCAGAGCACUCCAGACGAAUGCAACAAAUACGAUCGUGGAUAUCCACUUGUUCUGUGCCGGGAAAGACACUUGUUGCAUCCCAUUUCAGCAGUCCAUGCUUGUCAAGGACGUUCUUUACAUCUUUUCCUGCAAAUUCAGACAAUUUUCAUUUUUCCUUGAUCAAUACGCAUGUUACUUAUUUGUUCCUGAACUUCUUUUCAUAGUUGAUGCUGGCUCUUCCUCCAAACGGGACACGAAGCAUGUAUGAAGAAUAGUUGGAAUAGGAUUAGGAUGCGAAGCUGGUUUUGUGAUAAUCU